CUGAUUUGAUCUUUAACAAUUGAACAUGAUAUGCUACAUUGCUCACCCCUAAGAAAUAAGAGUAUCAAAAUAUUUAAAAAUGUGAGUUUGCACAAAGCUAAAAAAGUAACUAUACGACUAAUUAAACUAAAUAUUUCUUAUUUUUAUGAACUCCAUGGUGCCUAACUGACAUCUACUCUAUUUUUGCUAUUUGAGAUCUGGUUUAUAAAGAUUACAUGAAAAAUAUUAAAAGUCUUAAUCAACAAGCUUAGAAAACUAAUGAUAAAAGAUUAAUAUUUUAUAACAAGACAAUAUUAUAACACGCGGUAUCAAAGUAAUAAUCAUCUAAUAUUUUAAAUUAACAAAAAAAAUAUAUAAGGCAUUGAAG
rnacentral:lncRNA from 1 species